ACGGAAGGCAGCAGUAGGGAAUCUUCCACAAUGGGCGAAAGCCUGAUGGAGCAAUGCCGCGUGAGUGAAGAAGGAUUUCGGUUCGUAAAACUCUGUUGCAAGGGAAGAACAAGUAGCGUAGUACCUGGCGUUACCUUGACGGUACCUUGUUAGAAAGCCACGGCUAACUACGUGCCAGCAGCCGAGGUAAUACGUAGGUGGCAAGCGUUGUCCGGAAUUAUUGGGCGUAAAGCGCGCGCAGGUGGUUCCUGUAGUCUGAUGUGAAAACCCACGGCUUAACCGGGGAGGGGCAUUGGGAACUGGGGAACUUGAGUGCAGAAGAGGAUAGUGGAAUUCCAGGUGUAGCGGUGAAAUGCGUAGAGAUUUGGAGGAACACCAGUGGCGAAGGCGACUAUCUGGUCUGUAACUGACACUGAGGCGCGAAAGCGUGGGGAGCAAACAGGAUUAGAUACCCUGGUA
rnacentral:rRNA from 1 species